rnacentral:lncRNA from 1 species
ACAAAUCUACAGCACCUCCGUCCCCACCACAGAACCGCACGCCUCCACCACCACCGCUCAUCACCCACUCACUCAACCACCACAUCACCACCACAUCUACAACAGCCUAGUACGACAAUACCCUAUUACCACCACAAUCCACACUAUACCGCCACCACCCCCAACGAAACCAUUGUAUUGUCCCACUCCACAGAAUCGAAGCGGUUGCAAACCAGUGCUUCACAUCGCC